AUUGAACGCUGGCGGCAUGCCUUACACAUGCAAGUCGAACGGUAACAGGUCUUCGGAUGCUGACGAGUGGCGAACGGGUGAGUAAUACAUCGGAACGUGCCCGAUCGUGGGGGAUAACGAAGCGAAAGCUUUGCUAAUACCGCAUACCAUCUACGGAUGAAAGCAGGGGACCGCAAGGCCUUGCGCGAACGGAGCGGCCGAUGGCAGAUUAGGUAGUUGGUGGGAUAAAAGCUUACCAAGCCGACGAUCUGUAGCUGGUCUGAGAGGACGACCAGCCACACUGGGACUGAGACACGGCCCAGACUCCUACGGGAGGCAGCAGUGGGGAAUUUUGGACAAUGGGCGAAAGCCUGAUCCAGCCAUGCCGCGUGCAGGAUGAAGGCCUUCGGGUUGUAAACUGCUUUUGUACGGAACGAAAAGACUCGGGUUAAUACCUGGGGUCCAUGACGGUACCGUAAGAAUAAGCACCGGCUAACUACGUG
rnacentral:rRNA from 1 species